GGUACUGUGAGACUGAAUAAAUCAUUAGGAAUUCUACAUGUCAUCCUGUGGUGACAAGCUUUCCAAAAAAAUAAGGAAGCUUGAAUUCUAAAUGCCAACAGUCUAUGACUAAGACAAUGUCAGUUUCAAGGAUUAAAGGGUCACAGGAGUUUGCUCUUUUGUUUUGGUUUGGUUUUUUGUCAUGACGUCAUCGUCAAGGGUCUGCCAUGACUGGGACCUUUACAAGAGGUGAAGCUGAAUAUGCAGAGAGGAGAAGGACAUGUGGAGGCAGGAAAACUGGAGAGAAAAGCAGAGGACGGCUACUACGUGAUUCGCUCUGCCAGUGUUUCUUUCUCCGUGCAUCCACAUAUACUGAUACUCUCCUCGAAAGAACAAAGUGAUGAUAGAAUGAAAGGGCACUUCUUCUUUACGAAAUUGUUGCGGUUGUAGAAACAAAGGGUAACACGAGCUUUAAACAGGAGAGUGCCUACUGUGCGUACAACUUGUCCCUGCUGAAAAUUUCCACAAAAGUGGUUGAACGUUUGCAUUGGAGAAUCGCAUUUGGGAAAGUGAAAACAACUCACAGGGUUGUGAUCAAUGUGUUCAUCUCUGUAGGAGUUGGAAAUCUCUCUCACCCAACAUCAUGCUGCCAAAUUACCCAAAUGAUGACUCUGAAGCCUAGAUCUCUGGAUGCUGGGAGGUCAUUCAUUUAUCAUAAUAUAUCUGAAUAUCCACAAGUAUAAUAUCCAUAGAUAGCAUUGCCUAUAUUUUGGAUAAGUAAUCUGUCAUAGAAAUAAUUUUCAAAUGUACAUGGAAUCUAUUGUGAUUAGAAUAAAAUUAAUUUCCAAAAAGUCCAUUAUUAAUAAUUUUUAUAAUAAUGUUCUCAAUUAUGAGAUUUAAAAAGCAAUUACCCUCACACAA